rnacentral:rRNA from 1 species
CCUACGGGUGGCAGCAGUAGGGAAUAUUGCUCAAUGGGGGAAACCCUGAAGCAGCAACGCCGCGUGAAGGAAGAAGGCUUUCGGGUUGUAAACUUCUUUUCUCAGGGACGAAGCAAGUGACGGUACCUGAGGAACAAGCCACGGCUAACUACGUGCCAGCAGCCGCGGUAAUACGUAGGUGGCAAGCGUUAUCCGGAUUUACUGGGUGUAAAGGGCGUGUAGGCGGGAAAGCAAGUCAGAUGUGAAAACCAUGGGCUCAACCUGUGGCCUGCAUUUGAAACUGUUUUUCUUGAGUACUGGAGAGGCAAUCGGAAUUCCGGGUGUAGCGGUGAAAUGCGUAGAUAUACGGAGGAACACCAGUGGCGAAGGCAGAUUGCUGGACAGUAACUGACGCUGAGGCGCGAAAGCGUGGGGAGCAAACAGGAUUAGAUACCCCUGUAGUC